AACGGCCGUACCAUGCUGAAUAUACCGGUUCAUGUUAGAUCACCGAAGUUAAGCAUCAUUGGGCGCGGUCAGUACUUGGGUGGGUGACCACCUGGGAACACUGCGUGCCGUU